CAAAAGACAUAUAAAGGUGUUGAGAGAGAAACGAAACUUUGAGUGCGAAAUCGAGCAAAAUGAAGCGAACCUAGCGAGAUGGAGCGAAGAAACCCAGAAUCAAGAGGAAUCUUCAUCUUCGUCGGGUGAAAAGGUCCAAAUCGGAGCGACACAUCUCGGUCGACCGGAAAAACAAAUCCGCGGAAGAAAAUGACAGAAGGUUCUUCUCCUCAUGUUGAUAGCGAGAUGGAGAAUCCAGCGAAACCAAAAUCUGAAUCCAGUUUGUGCAUAAAAAAACUAAGCACAAGGAGUUGUAUAUGCUACAAAAAACAAGUUGUAAAUAAAGAGUAAUAAUUGUAAC